GGCUGUUACUGGGGGACAACAUUUCAAAAGGGAUGAUAAUACCGCAUACGUCCUACGGGAGAAAGCAGGGGAUCAGUAAUGACCUUGCGCUAAUAGAUGAGCCUAAGUCGGAUUAGCUAGUUGGUGGGGUAAAGGCCUACCAAGGCGACGAUCUGUAGCGGGUCUGAGAGGAUGAUCCGCCACACUGGGACUGAGACACGGCCCACACUCCUACGGGAGGCAGCAGUGGGGAAUAUUGGACAAUGGGGGGAACCCUGAUCCAGCCAUGCCGCGUGUGUGAAGAAGGCCUUAUGGUUGUAAAGCACUUUAAGCGAGGAGGAGGGUACUGGUAUUAAUACUACCAGCUACUGGACGUUACUCGCAGAAUAAGCACCGGCUAACUCUGUGCCAGCAGCCGCGGUAAUACAGAGGGUGCGAGCGUUAAUCGGAUUUACUGGGCGUAAAGCGUGCGUACGCGGCUAAUUGAGUCAGAUGUGAAAUCCCCCGAGCUUAACUUGGGAAUUGCAUUCUAUACUGGUUAGCUAGAGUGUGGGAGAGGAUGGUAGAAUUCCAUGUGUAGCGGUGAAAUGCGUAGAGAUCUGGAGGAAUACCGAUGGCGAAGGCAGCCAUCUGGUCUAACACUGACGCUGAGGUACAAAAGCAUGGGGAGCAAACAAGAUUAUAUACCCUGGUAGUCCAUGCCGUAGACGAUGUGCUACUACCCGUCGGUCUCUUUCAGCGCAUGAGUGNCGCAGCUCACCGCGAUAAGUAGAGCAUCUGGCGCAGUACGGUCCCCAGUACUAAAAAAUCAAAUGAACUUGAUGGAGUGCCCGCACUAGCGGCGGAGGCAUGUGGUUUCAUUCUAUUUAACGCGAAGAACCUUACCUGGUCUUGACAUAGUAAGAACUUUCCAGAGAUGGAUUGGUGCCUUCGGGAACUUACAUACAGGUGCUGCAUGGCUGUCGUCAGCUCGUGUCGUGAGAUGUUGGGUUAAGUCCCGCAACGAGCGCAACCCUUUUCCUUAUUUGCCAGCACUUUGGGUGGGAACUUUAAGGAUACUGCCAGUGACAAACUGGAGGAAGGCGGGGACGACGUCAAGUC
rnacentral:rRNA from 1 species